UGUGUAGGCGGUUUUUUAAGUUUGGUGUGAAAUCUCCCGGCUCAACUGGGAGGGUGCGCCGAAUACUGAAAGACUAGAGUGCGGGAGAGGAAAGUGGAAUUCCUGGUGUAGCGGUGAAAUGCGUAGAUGUCAGGAGGAACACCGGUGGUGUAGACGGCUUUCUGGACCGUAACUGACGCUGAGACACGAAAGCGUGGGUAGCAAACAGGAUUAGAUACCCUGGUAGUCCACGCCCUAAACGAUGCAUAUUUGGUGUGGGCAGUUCAUUCUGUCCGUGCCGGAGCUAACGCGUUAAAUAUGCCGCCUGGGGAGUACAGUCGCAAGGCUGAA
rnacentral:rRNA from 1 species